GACCGCUCCGAUGGCCUUAGAGGUUAGAGCGUCCGCCUCGAAUGCGGUAUGUCGCCGGUUCAAACCCUGGCAGAGUCA